rnacentral:rRNA from 1 species
AUUGAACGCUGGCGGCGGGCCUAACACAUGCAAGUCGAGCGAGCGUCGGACGGGUGAGUAAUGUAUGGGGACUGCCCGAUAGAGGGGGAUAACUACUGGAACCGGUGGCUACUACCGCAUCCUGUCGGAUGCCCCAUAUGGGAUUGGCUAGUGGGUAAGGUAAUGGCUUACCUAGGCGACGAUCCCUAGCUGGUCUGAGAGGAUGAUCAGCAACACGGGGACGGGGACACGGCCCGGACUCCGAGGGAGGAAGCAGUGGGGAAUAUUGGAAAAUGGGGGCAAGCCGGAUGCAGACAGGCGGGGGGGAGGAAGAGGGCCCUAGGGUGGAAAAGUACGUUGAGUCGGGAGGCGGUACCGACAGAAGAAGGACCGGCUAACUCCGUGCCAGCAGCCGCGGUAAUUC